GCUGUCCUGGAACCUCAAGUAGGUCCUCUCAAGACAGAGCUGAGUCUCUGAGUUGUUCUUUGGUUUCCUGCCUCGAGAUGUGAUCUCUCUCUUCCAGCCAUUGUUGAUUGUUGACCAGGAGGUCUUCACUGAGCCAGGCCAGUUGGAGCAAGAGGUCCUUGAGCCUCCAGAAGUGUGACUUUAAUAAGCUUCAGGUUCUCAUGGAAAGAAGGAAAGAAACAAAAGAGGCACUAAGGAAAGCUGUGGCAAUCUUGGAUGUAGCAGAUGUUAUUGGUAUUUAGACAACCGAGGUGACCUGCGUGUCUUAAUAUUUCAUCUAAGUCACCUGAGCAGCGCUGUCCUUCUAAGGCCUCAGAGAACCACAUGGAAGACUUCUGUGAGACUGCUCAGACCUCUGGGGUUUAGCAAACCAUUGCACACCCUUGAUCCUAGUUGAUGUCCACAACUAGGAAAAAGCAGCCUUCGUUCCGGACGGAAGGCUGGAGGAAGAUUCUCUCUCCUUCAAGAGAGGCUUCUGGCAGGCACUGACUCCACGUGCACACUGUGACAGCUGACGCGGGGACUAUGGAGAGGCCACUUCCUUCAUUCGACCCUGGCUCUUCUCCACCUAUAAAAUGAAGCGG